UACGUAGGGUGCGAGCGUUGUCCGGAAUUAUUGGGCGUAAAGGGCUCGUAGGCGGUUUGUCGCGUCGGGAGUGAAAACCUUGGGCUUAACUCAGGGCUUGCUUUCGAUACGGGCAGACUAGAGGUAUGCAGGGGAGAACGGAAUUCCUGGUGUAGCGGUGAAAUGCGCAGAUAUCAGGAGGAACACCGAUGGCGAAGGCAGUGAUCUGGGCCGGUACUGACGCUGAGGAGCGAAAGCGUGGGUAGCAAACAGG
rnacentral:rRNA from 1 species